UACGUAGGGGGCUAGCGUUGUCCGGAAUCAUUGGGCGUAAAGAGCGUGUAGGCUGCUCGGUAAGUCCGCUGUAAAAGUCAAAGGCUCAACCUUUGAAUGUCAGUGGAUACUGCCGGGCUAGAGUCCGGGAGAGGUGAGUGGAAUUCCCAGUGUAGCGGUGAAAUGCGUAGAUAUUGGGAGGAACACCAGUGGCGAAGGCGGCUCACUGGACCGGUACUGACGCUGAUGCGCGAAAGCGUGGGGAGCAAACAGG
rnacentral:rRNA from 1 species